CGAGGGGGCAAUGGCGGCUUCAUGUGUCCUCCUGCACACUGGGCAGAAGAUGCCCCUGAUUGGCCUGGCACCUGGAAGAGCGAUCCUGGCCAGGUGGAAUGUCACCCAUACUUGGCUCAGAAGGAGCUGAUUGCCCACUGCCAAGCUCGCGGCCUGGAGGUGACCGGUUAUAGCCCUCUGGGCUCCUCUGAUCGAGCUUGGCGUGAUCCUGAUGAACUGGUCCUACCUGAGGAGCCAGUGGUCCUGGCCCUGGCUGAAAAGUAUGGCCGGUCUCCGGCUCAGAUCCUGCUCAGGUGGCAGGUCCAGUGGAAAGUGAUCUGCAUCCCCAAGAGUAUCACCCCUUCACGUAUCCUCCAGAAUAUCCAGGUGUUUGGCUUUACCUUUAGCCCAGAUGAGAUGAAGCAACUAGAUGCUCUGAAUAAAAAUUGGCGAUACAUUGUGCCCAUGCUCACAGUGGAUGGGAAGAGGGUCCCGAGAGAUGCAGGGCACCCUCUGUACCCCUAUAAUGACCCAUAUUGAGACCACCGCUUCCUGGUUCCUUCCCAGCUCUCUAGCUACAAGGUCCUGCCACCCGCAGAAAGGAGUUAAUAAAGCCAUUGGAGCAUCCACACUAAAAAAAAAAAAAAAAAAAAAAAAAAAA